rnacentral:piRNA from 1 species
GACGAGCAAAGGGACAGUCUUAGUG